CCUACGGGUGGCUGCAGUGGGGAAUAUUGGACAAUGGGGGGAACCCUGAUCCAGCCAUGCCGCGUGUGUGAAGAAGGCCCUCGGGUUGUAAAGCACUUUCAGUGAGGAAGAACGCCUGGUGGUUAAUACCCAUCAGGAAAGACAUCACUCACAGAAGAAGCACCGGCUAACUCCGUGCAGCAGCCGCGGUAAUACGGAGGGUGCGAGCGUUAAUCGGAAUUACUGGGCGUAAAGCGCGCGUAGGUGGCUUGAUAAGCCGGUUGUGAAAGCCCCGGGCUCAACCUGGGAACGGCAUCCGGAACUGUCAAGCUAGAGUGCAGGAGAGGAAGGUAGAAUUCCCGGUGGAGCGGUGAAAUGCGUAGAGAUCGGGAGGAAUACCAGUGGCGAAGGCGGCCUUCUGGACUGACACUGACACUGAGGUGCGAAAGCGUGGGUAGCAAACAGGAUUAGAUACCCGUGUAGUC
rnacentral:rRNA from 1 species